rnacentral:rRNA from 1 species
UCGAACGCCGAAGGGGAGCAAUCCCUGAGUAGAGUGGCAAACGGGUGAGUAACACGUGGGUGACCUGCCUUCGAGUGGGGGAUAACGUUCCGAAAGGAACGCUAAUACCGCAUGACAUCCUGCUUUUGGAAAAGCGGAGAUCAAAGCUGGGGAUUCGCAAGAACCUGGCGCUUGAAGAGGGGCCCGCGCCUGAUUAGCUAGUUGGUGAGGUAACGGCUCACCAAGGCUACGAUCAGUAUCCGGCCUGAGAGGGCGGACGGACACACUGGGACUGAGACACGGCCCAGACUCCUACGGGAGGCAGCAGUGGGGAAUUGUUCGCAAUGGGCGCAAGCCUGACGACGCAACGCCGCGUGGAGGAUGAAGAUCUUCGGGUCGUAAACUCCUGUCGAGUGGGAAGAAUUGCUUUAGGGUGAAUAUCCCUGGAGUUUGACGGUACCACUAAAGGAAGCCCCGGCUAACUCCGUGCCAGCAGCCGCGGUAAUACGGGGGGGGCAAGCGUUGUUCGGAAUUACUGGGCGUAAAGGGCUCGUAGGCGGCCAACUAAGUCGGAUGUGAAAUCCCCAGGCUCAACCUGGGAACUGCAUCCGAUACUGGAUGGCUUGAAUUCGGGAGAGGGAUGCAGAAUUCCAGGUGUAGCGGUGAAAUGCGUAGAUAUCUGGAGGAAUACCGGUGGCGAAGGCGGCAUCCUGGACCGACAUUGACGCUGAGGA